CUGAGUACUACAACUCUCUAACCCUUUGUGAACUAUUAUACCUGUUGCUUCGGCGGCGCCCGCGAGGGUGCCCGCCGGUCUCAUCAGAAUCUCUGUUUUCGAACCCGACGAUACUUCUGAGUGUUCUUAGCGAACUGUCA
rnacentral:misc_RNA from 1 species